GACGAACGCUGGCGGCGUGCCUAAUACAUGCAAGUAGAACGCUGAAGGAGGAGCUUGCUUCUCUGGAUGAGUUGCGAACGGGUGAGUAACGCGUAGGUAACCUGCCUGGUAGCGGGGGAUAACUAUUGGAAACGAUAGCUAAUACCGCAUAAUAGUAGAUGUCGCAUGACAUUUGCUUAAAAGGUGCAAUUGCAUCACUACCAGAUGGACCUGCGUUGUAUUAGCUAGUUGGUGAGGUAACGGCUCACCAAGGCAACGAUACAUAGCCGACCUGAGAGGGUGAUCGGCCACACUGGGACUGAGACACGGCCCAGACUCCUACGGGAGGCAGCAGUAGGGAAUCUUCGGCAAUGGACGGAAGUCUGACCGAGCAACGCCGCGUGAGUGAAGAAGGUUUUCGGAUCGUAAAGCUCUGUUGUAAGAGAAGAACGAGUGCGAGAGUGGAAAGUUCACACUGUGACGGUAUCUUACCAGAAAGGGACGGCUAACUACGUG
rnacentral:rRNA from 1 species